GCAAAUUGAUUUUCAUCGCCUUGGGGACAUGCAUUCGUUUCGUUGACAGAUAUUCAGCGGGAAUUUUAUAGUUUGUUAGUUUCGACUCGAAAAUGUCAAAAAGUGCGAUAUCCGUUUUCCUGUUGUUCAGAUAUCACAGAUCAAGCACUUCUUUUGUUAAUCAACAAAUGGCAGUCAUUUAAGCUUAACGCGUUUAAUGAACGCGUAUAAACAAAAUUAAGUGCCCGAGUUGGAUUUCGACCUGCAUUAUUAAUGAAGAUAAUAAAAAGCGUAAUGUGUUUGCAACUGAUUAUGGCAGCACAAAUGAAUCAGGAUGAAAAAAGACCAAUUGUAAUUCGAAGCAGAAUUCAAUGUUUUUUUUUAUUGUGUUAAUUAUUGAAAAUAAUUAUGCAUUAAUCGGCAACAAAUGUAUAAAUAAUUGCUGGGGCAAUUGGUUGUGCCUUGAAUAUUCCACAUACGACAUGUGCGCCAGCCAUAUGUUCUCAAUUUCGAUUUCCACGCAAUUUUAACGUGUUUGCGUAACUAAAUUUUGUUGAGCAACCAUUUGAUCUAUGUUCGAAAGUUUGUUAUAAUUUUAGUCUUUUGUUUCCCAAAGCCCGAAAAAGUUUGCCAGGAAAAACUGUUCUCAAAUUGAGCCACCAGCCACGUGUUCCUGACUAAAAACCAACAAGAAACUUCUUCUUUCAUCUGCUUUUAAUUGAACAUUUUUAAUUUAUGCACAAUAAAAACUGAUUUACCGCUAGCUACCCGUUCGGCUAGAAAAAGUUCAACUUUAACUUUUUAUGACUGCCCCAAACAGAAAAAAUUAUGUCGAGAAGCACAAAAAGAAAAAAUUCUGAGCCAUAAAAGCGACCAAGGUGUGUGCGCCUGUGUGUCUAUGAAAGCUAAACUAAAGUUUUGGUAGAGCAACUUUUGGUUUUUAGUGCCGGCAGCUUGGUCCAUUUUACAGCAUUUAAGUGGCCAUGAAUUUCCCGGCCAGUGAGCAUCGGCUGCCGGCAAAGCGAGCACGUGGCUCCAUAAAGACAACAGGGAUUCGGUGCCGAACUCACCCAGAUAUCAGAUAUUCCAUCCCAAAAGUCGAGCCACCUGCAGGCACCUUUGUUUUAGUUGCGGCCAUUUCCUCCAUUUUCCCCGCAUCUCAAUUGGUUUUGGUUUUAAUUCCGUCAUGGCAGCCAAAACACGUGUGCACCAAAAUUGUUUUGAGUCAGUUAGCGUCGAAACGUGGCAGCAAUAAAUGGAUCAAAGUGAAAUACUUUAACAAAAAGCUAAAUUUAUGUUUUGAUUUUCAGAUGUGCAACUAGUUUUAUUUCGCAACGAGAAGUGUAAAAUUGCAAAAUUUUAAGAAUAUCAUUUUUAAAUACAAAUAUAUUUCGUAAUAUAUUAAUUUAGACAGUUAUUUCUCUUAACAACCAUUUCAAAUAAGAUUUGCAUGCAUUCUUAAUUUUUCAAAUGUCUAGCCAUAAGAGUACUAUAAACUAAUCCACCAACCCAUAACCAAGAUGAAUCUAUAUCUGGCUUUCAUCCUGGCUGCCAUUUCUGGAAUUUCGUGUGCUCCGCAGCCUGGAGGUGGUUUCGCUCCCUAUAUAUAUGUGUGUAAUCCACCGAAUCCUGCUUGUCUGCUCUAUAAGCCAUUUAAUGAUACAAGGAACUAGAAAUACAUUGUGAAUAUAUGUAAAAUAUGGAAGACCUUACCUAAAGUGAGUUUAAAUAAACUUGUCACAAGUG